AUAUAAGCACGGAACCUUGAUUAAAGCGUGUAACCAUGAUUAACAUGCCAAAAACUAUGGUUUACAUCUAUAUCUCAUUAUUAACCACCUUCCUUGUCCCAUUCCAAGCUCUGCCCCUGAGUACAGUGGCACCAGAUCAAAUAAGAAAAGUUGCAUGCAGAACAGAAAAUUCAGUUCUAAGCAAAUAUGGAUUGAAGCUAAUUGUCCAAUUAAAUUGACAUGUAAAAUAAUCUGUCUCUAAAAAUGAAGAUCUAAAAGUGAAGAUAGAAACAGACAUCUGCUAAAGUAAAGCCAGAUGCAAAGAACUAUAUAAUUAUCUAAAUAGAUGAAAAAGUGCAUCUCGCGCAACAUGGAAGAGAUGAAGAGAAAUUUUCCGUCAAAUUAUGUAUAUCUUGGUGAGUUAUCCAAGCAUUCCAUUCCAUUUGAUGGUCUGGACUCUGGGCAUGUCAUGUGGCGAAAGCGUAGUGCAGCACCAAGCUAGUGGAAACCAAAAAUACAGUUCACAUUGUUAACACUGUUUUUUUAGUCUUAAGUACAAACACAGGAUGCAUUCGCAUUGUUACCACGGUUAUCAUACAUUGCAUGGAUCUGUCAUAAUAUAGUUAUGAUGUUAUAUACGAUAUGUCUGUGCCUGUACCAAAUGUGGAAUACCAUUAAUCAUGGAUCCAACCAGCUUUUCCUCCCCUGCAACAAAUCUACUCAGAAAGGCAAAAUUAGUUGCUAAAACCAAAAUGCAACAGAAAUCCUUUUCUUAGGAAAAUAGAACAAUAGAUGUCUGCAAGGUAAUAACCCUGUAUAUUCCUAAUGGAAGAAAAUAGAAAGAAUGGUAACUAAAAGGACAACAUAUUAUACUAAGCAUGCUUCACAUACAUGAAGAGUGAAGUUGAUCCUCGAGGAAAAAUAAUUUGAUUUCACUGAAUGAGGGUUUCCUGAUAAUUUGCCAUCUAAAAGCACACUUCAGAUACAUUCCUUUAUAUCAGUGUGGACCAAUUUUUUUAGAGAUAAUUUUGCAUCCUCCACCUCCAAAGAAUACUAUACAUUGCCUAAGGAAAUCUUGGUUUGCGAGCAAGAGAGAUAAUUUAGGAUGAAUUAUGUUGAGAAAUUUGAUAAGUUAGCUGCUGCAGUCAUCGAAUCUUCAGGAACAAGACAUACCAGGUGAUUUAUAGAAUGACUGUCUGUGAAUACAUACUGGCUCAUUGUAAAUAAAAGCUAAUACUGAUCAGGGCAAAACAGAACAAUCUCCAUUUGCAAAUGCUUAUACAAGACUGACAAAAGGAUGGACAUAUUUGGUUGUUUCUAACAUUUUGUUGCUGAAAAAAUCAAACCGUUUCCCACCGUACUGUGCUUGUCCAACUACUGAAGCCUGAAGCCCCGUCUGAAUUCUGAAAUGCGGAAAAUGUUUCAUUGUUCCCGAAGAAAUUGAAUAUCAGAGUUCUGACGGAUUUUGAUAGAACUCAUUGUUCCAGUGUUGAAGCUGAUCUGUUCAUGAGUUAAUCGAUCUAACUAUCAUGAUUUCAUAUACAUAAACUGAUAAACACUUCAAUCGGCCUUAAGCAAAACUGUUUCCUUUCAAGAACACUUGCACGCGGACAACUACCGACCAACUCCAAGAACUGAGCGGCAAAUCUUGCACGGCAGAGUAAAGAAGUACUUACCGCACCAGUGCAGGCUGCAGCAAGCACCAUGGCUGCCCCAGGCCCGCAGGAGCAGGGCCGCCGGCCGCGCCCGCUUCCCACUUCGCCGUCACGGCGUGUGUGCGCGUCAGUCCCUCACGGAGGAGAGGAGCUCUGGAUCCCGCCGGGCGCCAUGG
rnacentral:lncRNA from 1 species